AACGAACGCUGGCGGCAUGCCUAACACAUGCAAGUCGAACGAGAUCUUCGGGUCUAGUGGCGCACGGGUGCGUAACGCGUGGGAAUCUGCCCUUUGGUUCGGAAUCACAGUUGGAAACGACUGCUAAUACCGGAUGAUGACGAAAGUCCAAAGAUUUAUCGCAAGAGGAUGAGCCCGCGUAGGAUUAGCUAGUUGGUAUGGUAAAGGCGCACCAAGGCGACGAUCCUUAGCUGGUCUGAGAGGAAGAUCAGCCACACGGGGACGGAGAAACGGCACAGACUCCUACGGGAGGCAGCAGUGGGGAAUAUUGGACAAUGGGCGAAAGCCUGAUCCAGCAAUGCCGCGUGAGUGAUGAAGGCCUUAGAGUUGUAAAGCUCUUUUACCCGGGAUGAUAAUGACAGUACCGGGAGAAUAAGCUCCGGCUAACUCCGUGCCAGCCGCCGCCGUAA
rnacentral:rRNA from 1 species